UGAAGGAUGCAAGCGUUAUCCGGAUUCAUUGGGUUUAAAGGGUGCGUAGGUGGACUGAUAAGUCAGUGGUGAAAUCUUCGAGCUUAACUCGGAAAUUGCCAUUGAUACUGUUGGUCUUGAGUACAGUUGCUGUGGGCGGAAUAUGACAUGUAGUGGUGAAAUACAUAGAGAUGUCAUAGAACACCGAUUGCGAAGGCAGCUCACAAAGCUGUAACUGACACUGAGGCUCGAAAGUGCGGGGAUCAAACAGGAUUAGAUACCCUGGUAGUCCGCACCGUAAACGAUGAUUACUCGCUGCUAGAUGGCAACAUUUAGUGGCUUAGCGAAAGCGAUAAGUAAUCCACCUGGGAGUACGCCGGCAACGGUG
rnacentral:rRNA from 1 species